rnacentral:rRNA from 1 species
CCAGCAGCUGCGGUAAUUCCAGCUCCAAUAGCGUAUAUUUAAGUUGUUGCAGUUAAAAAGCUCGUAGUUGGAUUUCGGGUGGGUUCUAGCGGUCCGCCUAUGGUGAGUACUGCUAUGGCCUACCUUUCUGCUGGGGACGGGCUCCUGGGCUUCACUGUCCGGGACUCGGAGUCAGCGUGGUCACUUUGAAAAAAAUGGAGUGUUCAAAGCAGGCUUACGCUCUGAACAAUUUAGCAUGGAAUGACACGAUAGGACUCUGGCCUAUCUUGUCGGUCUGUAGGACCGGAGUAAUGAUUAAGAGGGACAGUCGGGGGCAUUCGUAUUUCAUUGUCAGAGGUGAAAUUCUUGGAUUUAUGAAAGACGAACUACUGCGAAAGCAUUUGCCAAGGAUGUUUUCA